rnacentral:rRNA from 1 species
GGUUAAGUUAGAAAGGGCGCACGGUGGAUGCCUUGGCACUAGGAGCCGAUGAAGGACGGGACGAACACCGAUAUGCUUCGGGGAGCUGUAAGCAAGCUUUGAUCCGGAGAUUUCCGAAUGGGGAAACCCACCACUCGUAAUGGAGUGGUAUCCAUAUCUGAAUACAUAGGAUAUGAGAUGGCAGACCCGGGGAACUGAAACAUCUAAGUACC